rnacentral:rRNA from 1 species
GACGAACGCUGGCGGCGUGCUUAACACAUGCAAGUCGAACGGUGAAGCGCCUUCCUUUUUGGUGGGUGUGGAUGAGUGGCGAACGGGUGAGUAACACGUGAGUAACCUGCCCCCUUCUUCUGGAUAACCGCAUGAAAGUGUGGCUAAUACGGGAUAUUCUGGGUCUGUCGCAUGAUGGGUCUGGGAAAGAUAUGGUUUCGGGGGGGGAGGGGCUCGCGGCCUAUCAGCUUGUUGGUGGGGUGUUGGCCUACCAAGGCGGUGACGGGUAGCCGGCCUGAGAGGGUGGACGGUCACACUGGGACUGAGACACGGCCCAGACUCCUACGGGAGGCAGCAGUGGGGAAUAUUGCACAAUGGGCGCAAGCCUGAUGCAGCGACGCCGCGUGAGGGAUGGAGGCCUUCGGGUUGUGAACCUCUUUCGCCAGUGAAGCAGGCCUGCCUCGUUUGUGGGUGGGUUGACGGUAGCUGGAUAAGAAGCGCCGGCUAACUACGUG